rnacentral:rRNA from 1 species
GACGAACGCUGGCGGCGUGCUUAACACAUGCCAGUCGAACGGAAAGGCCCUGCUUUUGUGGGGUGCUCGAGUGGCGAACGGGUGAGUAACACGUGAGUAACCUGCCCUUGACUUUGGGAUAACUUCAGGAAACUGGGGCUAAUACCGGAUAGGAGCUCCUGCUGCAUGGUGGGGGUUGGAAAGUUUCGGCGGUUGGGGAUGGACUCGCGGCUUAUCAGCUUGUUGGUGGGGUAGUGGCUUACCAAGGCUUUGACGGGUAGCCGGCCUGAGAGGGUGACCGGCCACAUUGGGACUGAGAUACGGCCCAGACUCCUACGGGAGGCAGCAGUGGGGAAUAUUGCACAAUGGGCGGAAGCCUGAUGCAGCAACGCCGCGUGCGGGAUGACGGCCUUCGGGUGGGAAACCGCUUUCGCCUGUGACGAAGCGUGAGUGACGGUAAUGGGGAAAGAAGCACCGGCUAACUACGU